GACGUAGGGCGCGAGCGUUGUCCGGAUUUAUUGGGCGUAAAGAGCUCGUAGGCGGCUUGUCGCGUCGACUGUGAAAACCUGCAGCUUAACUGUGGGCGUGCGGUCGAUACGGGCAUCACUGGAGUUCGGCAGGGGGAGACUGAAUUCCUGGUGUAGCGGUGAAAUGCGCAGAUAUCAGGAGGAACACUGGUGGCGAAGGCGGGGUCUCUGGGGCCGAUACUGACGCUGAGGAGCGAAAAGCGUGGGGGAGGCAAAACAGG
rnacentral:rRNA from 1 species